AGUCGACGGGAAGACUGAAGAGCUUGCUCUUUAUGAAAUCCAGUGGCAAACGGGUGAGUAACACGUAAACAACCUGCCUCCAGGAUGGGGACAACAGACGGAAACGACUGCUAAUACCGAAUACGAUUCUUGAGUCGCAUGACACAAGAAAGAAAGGGUGGCCUCUACUUGUAAGCUAUCGCCUGAAGAGGGGUUUGCGUCCGAUUAGGUAGUUGGUGAGGUAACGGCCCACCAAGCCGACGAUCGGUAGCCGGUCUGAGAGGAUGAACGGCCACAUUGGAACUGAGACACGGUCCAGACUCCUACGGGAGGCAGCAGUGGGGAAUCUUCCGCAAUGGGCGAAAGCCUGACGGAGCAACGCCGCGUGAGUGAAGACGGCCUUCGGGUUGUAAAACUCUGUGAUUCGGGACGAAAGAUAAGUAGACGAAUAAUCUGCAUAAGUGACGGUACCGAAAAAGCAAGCCACGGCUAACUACGUGCCAGCAGCCGCGGUAAUACGUAGGUGGCAAGCGUUGUCCGGAAUUAUUGGGCGUAAAGCGCGCGCAGGCGGCUACUUAAGUCCAUCUUAAAAGUGCGGGGCUUAACCCCGUGAUGGGAUGGAAACUGAGAAGCUGGAGUGUCGGAGAGGAAAGUGGAAUUCCUAGUGUAGCGGUGAAAUGCGUAGAGAUUAGGAAGAACACCGGUGGCGAAGGCGACUUUCUGGACGACAACUGACGCUUAGGCGCGAAAGCGUGGGGAGCAAACAGGAUUAGAUACCCUGGUAGUCCACGCCGUAAACGAUGGAUACUAGGUGUAGGAGGUAUCGACCCCUUCUGUGCCGGAGUUAACGCAAUAAGUAUCCCGCCUGGGAAGUACGAUCGCAAGAUUAAAACUCAAAGG
rnacentral:rRNA from 1 species